ACACACCUGCUACACAGACACACACACACACAGAUGAAAUGUAACUGAGUACAUGUACUCCAGUGCUGUACUUCAGUCCACAUGUUGAGGUACUUGUAC